UCAAGAAGAAUUUAUUUAAUAUCUGUUAGUACAGAGGUCUACACGGAGCUCUACAUAUUAAGCAAGAACAAAAUAAAUAACAGCAUGAAGGGAACUCUAUUUUUAAUAAUGGCAAACUUGUCCUCUCAGACUAAAGCUUUGCUGAAAACAACUUCAUCAUGCUGUAAAAAAUAGUAAAAACACCUUAAAAGCAUUGAGGAGUUGAUGUGAGGUAAAGGAGUUGGUCAAACUGAAGGGCCUGCUAGAACCCUGGGAAGAACUGUGAUUCAGACUCCUCCAGUCCUGGAGACCAUAUGUGGUCUUUAAAAAUGUCCAAACAAGAAUAGGAUGCCAGGGGAGCCGUCCGUCUAACGGGGCCAGCGGGCAGCAGAGUCCUCCUCAGGAGUCAGGAGCCUUUCUCCUCUUGCAAGGAUGUCCCGCAAUCUCUCAUAUGUUCAUCUCCCUGAGAACUUGACAGGGUCGUGAGACAGGGAUAUUUUAUACUUGUUCCUUGUUCUCCAAGUCCCACUAACGACUUGCAAAACAUAGGACACUAUGUUCUGAUAGGCAAGACCACAGCCAGCUUUGACAGAAAGAAGGUGCUACUCAGAAUCACAAGCUUCUUUCUCUCUUCUGUUUCAGUUCUGAAGAGUAGCUGCUCCAAUGUCAAAAUGAAAAUUACAACCUCCAAAUUAAUAGAGUGCCGCUCCAAGGCCUGGAGAGUGGGAUCCAGAUGCACCUCCUUUAAAAACUGAUAAUUCUCUGCUGGCCUCCCCUUUAAAUCUUGCAAUUAUAUUCCGAGCAAAAUACUUGAACAGCCAAGUCAGAGGAGUGCCCCAAAACUCCGCUUCAGCGAGGCGUAAUAGAAGGGUCUGGGGCUGUUGAAAGGGACAGAUUGGAGAUAACAUUCAGGUGGAAGGAAAUCUACUGAUUACUUUGGUUAGAAAUGGAGGUAAAACCACCACAUAUAGAGGGUAGCGGAGCCUUGUGCUUCUGAGCAAACUGGUAGAACCACUCUCUUCCCUUUCCUGCACCACCUCCCCCAACCAGCAUAACCCUCUUCCUAUUUUGGAGAAUUUUUAUAGAGGAAAGUGACAGUUUUCUUCCAAGAGGUGGCAUCUCUCUGGAAACCAUCCUGGUGGACAAAGCGAUAAUGAUGAGAGGCCCCCAUGAAAGAGAAAAUGCUGGCAUCAGGAAUGGAGACCAUGAGGUCUGGUCUUUCAGGGACAGUUUCCCCCAUCGGUGGCAGCCCCAGAGCGCCUGGCUUUGACUGCAUCACGUGAGCUGGAAAGUUUCCUUCUAUGCAAAUCUGCAUUAUUAGUAGAAGGGCCUUGAAUAAGCUGCUGAACCUCUCUGAACCACAUUCAGACACUUACAAAACGAGGGAGUCGGCCGGGCACGCUGGCUCACUCCUGUAAUCCCAGCACUCUGGGAGGCCGACGUGGGUGGAUCACUUGAGGCCAGGAGUUCAAGACCAGCCUGACCAACAUGGUGAAACUCUGUCUCUACUAAAAAUACAAAAAUUAACCUGGCGUAGUGGCGCAUGCCUGUAUUCCCAGCUCUCCUGGGAAGGCUGAGGCAUGAGAAUCGCUUGAGCCUGGGAGGCGGAGGUUGCAGCGAGCCGAGAUUGCACCACUGCACUCCGGCCUGGGCAACAGAGCGAGACUCCGUCUCAAAAAAUAAAAUAAAAUAAAAUAAAAAUGAGAGAGUCAUACCUACUUCAUGGUGAUGACUCAGUGAAGGAAUGCAUGGGAAGUUCUCAGCACACAGCCUAGCUCUGAAAAGCUUGAUUGGAGUUCCUUUCCAUCCCAACUUCCUUCCCAGGAAGAUGGAGACACUAGCUAGCUAAAUAAGGGGCACUUAAGCUCAGGUGUUUAACAGAUUCUCCAGCACUUUAUAGGUGCUGGCUUCACAGGAAGGCACUUGAACCAUUUUGUCCUGCACCAUCCCGCAAUAGACACCUGUUCUUGAAAUGACUUGGUUUUCAUUUCUCUGUUUCCUGGUUAGUCAACAGAAACAUCUAUCUUUAUAGAAAUUACUUUCAAACCCCUUCUCUCUCUUAUUAUGCCUCUUUCUCUUUUUCUUUCUUCCUUUUCUAUACACAUUUUCAGCCCCAGAGUGGUUACCUGCCAAGACACCCAAGUAGAAUUCUUUUUUCUUUUCUCCUUUCUUUCUUUCUCUCUUUCUCUCUCUCUCUUUCCUUCUUUCCCUCCCUUCCUCCCUCACUUCCU
rnacentral:lncRNA from 10 species